rnacentral:lncRNA from 1 species
UUUAAUUUGUGAGUGCAUAUGUAGUGUUAUGUUGGUUUGUUAGUUAGAUCAGUUGUUUCGUUAUGUUUACUAGAUGUCAAGGUCAUUUUUGUGAGUGGUGAUUUUUAUGUUUAUGCAAUGUAAAAACUGGGUAAGACGAGUGAGCUAGCUAUGGAUGGCGCAGAGUAGCGGUAAUUAUCAACCCAUAUAUUCUGGGCGUCGAACAAAAACCAGACAUAUGUGGUGGAGUUUACACCUGGUUUCAUCAUACAAACACAUGAACUUAAUUUAGUAAGUAUUACUUCCUCCGUUCCAAUUUAGACUGGGCAGGGAGUAAAAAAAAUAAAGUUUUUUUGGAAUUUAUAGUCCUAAACAAGUUAAAAAGGGGCCAGCGAAUUUAUGUGUAAUUAUAAAAGAUUUUCAUUAAUGAUAGAAUAAUAAUU